ensembl:snRNA U2 U2 spliceosomal RNA
AUCAUUUCUCAGCGUUUAGGCUAAGACUAUUUGUAGUAUCUGUUCUUAUCAGCUUAAUAACUAAUAUGUCCUCUAUCAAAGGACAAUACAAAAAAUGGAUUUUUGGAGCUGGAAGGUGAAAUAGGAGUUUUCUCUGUCCACUCUCACAUCGACAUGGUAUUGCAGUACCUCCAGGAAUGGAGCACACACU